ncrna:unclassified sequences S16-Flavobacteria ribosomal protein leader
AUUAAUAACCGGGGUCGUGUACCCCAAAAUUUAAU